rnacentral:rRNA from 1 species
UACGUAGGGUGCGAGCGUUAAUCGGAAUUACUGGGCGUAAAGCGUGCGCAGGCGGUUUUGUAAGCCAGAUGUGAAAUCCCCGGGCUUAACCUGGGAAUGGCAUUUGGGACGGCAAAGCUUGAGUGCGGCAGAGGGGACUGGAAUUCCUGGUGUAGCAGUGAAAUGCGUAGAGAUCAGGAGGAAUACCGAUGGCGAAGGCAGGUCCCUGGGCUGACACUGACGCUGAUGCGCGAAAGCCAGGGGAGCGAACGGG